GACGAACGCCGGCGGCGUGCUUAACACAUGCAAGUCGAACGAUGAAGUUCCUUCGGGAAUGGAUUAGUGGCGAACGGGUGAGGAACACGUGAGAAACCUGCCUUUCAUUUUGGGAUAACUCCGGGAAACCGGGGCUAAAACCGAAUACUCCGUCUCGGCGGCAUCGCUGAGCCGGGAAAAAAUUUUGAUGAAAGAUGGUCUCGCGGCCUAUCAGCUAGUUGGUGAGGUAAUGGCUCACCAAGGCAACGACGGGUAGCCGGCCUGAGAGGGCGACCGGCCACACUGGGACUGAGACACGGCCCAGACUCCUACGGGAGGCAGCAGUGGGGAAUAUUGGGCAAUGGGCGCAAGCCUGACCCAGCGACGCCGCGUGAGGGAUGAAGGCCUUCGGGUUGUAAACCUCUUUCAGUUGGGAAGAAGCGAAAGUGACGGUACCUAAAGAAGAAGCACCGGCUAACUAUGUGCCAGCCGCCGCGGUAA
rnacentral:rRNA from 1 species